rnacentral:snoRNA from 1 species
CUUCGAUGAUGUUAUCUUAUAUUUGCUACUCUCGACAGCUUGGAUGACGAUUAACCACCAAGAUCUCUGAGAAG